rnacentral:rRNA from 1 species
AGUGAACGCUGGCGGUAGGCCUAACACAUGCAAGUCGAACGGCAGCACAGUAAGAGCUUGCUCUUACGGGUGGCGAGUGGCGGACGGGCGAGGAAUACAUCGGAAUCUACUUUUUCGUGGGGGAUAACGUAGGGAAACUUACGCUAAUACCGCAUACGACCUACGGGUGAAAGCAGGGGAUCUUCGGACCUUUCGCGAUUGAAUGAGCCGAUGUCGGAUUAGCUAGUUGGUGGGGUAAAGGCACACCAAGGCGACGAUCCGUAGCUGGUCUGAGAGGAUGAUCAGCCACACUGGAACUGAGACACGGUCCAGACUCCUACGGGAGGCAGCAGUGGGGAAUAUUGGACAAUGGGCGCAAGCCUGAUCCAGCCAUACCGCGUGGGUGAAGAAGGCCUUCGGGUUGUAAAGCCCUUUUGUUGGGAAAGAAAAGCUGUAGGUUAAUCCCCCGCUGUUCUGACGGUACCUAAUGAAUAAGCACCGGCUAACUUCGUG